CCAGAAAGGAAGAAGCAUUCUUUCACUGGUUGGUGUGUAUUGCUUUGUUAACCAAUGGGAGGAUGCCAUUUAUCCUCUUCUG
rnacentral:pre_miRNA from 1 species